rnacentral:rRNA from 1 species
UUGGUUGAUCCUGCCAGUAGUGUAUGCUUCUCCUAAAGACUAAGCCAUGCAUGCCCUGAAUAAGAGGAAGCAAUUCUCUCUGAAUCUGCGAACGGCUCCGCAAACCAGUUGUAAACUAGAGCAAGCAAGCCUGGCGGGCUUCGGCCUCCAGGUGAUAUGGAUAACCCUGGUAAUUCUGAGGCUAAUACAUGACCGCAAAACCGGGCAGCCCAGCAAUGGAUGCUCGGGGAUGUGCGAUAUGGCUUGACAAUAACCGGGAAAGGACGCACACUCAGACCGCGCUAAAAAGGAUCGGGACUCUCUUCGGAGAACCUGGCCCCUGCGGCUCUUGCUGUGUGCUUCUGACCUAUCAACUAGACGGCAGCGUAAUGGACAUGCUAUGGUGACAACGGGUACAGAGGAUUAGGGUUCGAUCCUGGAGAGUGGGCCUGAGAGAUUGCUCAUACUUCUAAGGAAGGCAG